CAGCGGGCCGAGGGUUCGGCCUCAGUCAGGCGCUCAGCUCCGUUUCGGUUUCACUUCCGGUGAAGGGCCGCCUCGCGGGCCGACGGCGAGCGCGGGCGGCGGCGGUGACGGAGGCGCCGCUGCCAGGGGGCGUGCGGCAGCGCGGCGGCGGCGGCGGCGAGCGCCCGCAGCCCACCUCUCGGGGGCGGGCUCCCGGCGCGAGCAGGGCUGAAGAGAAGAUGGAGGAGCUGGUGGUGGAAGUGCGGGGCUCCAAUGGCGCUUUCUACAAGGCAUUUGUAAAGGAUGUUCAUGAAGAUUCAAUAACAGUUGCAUUUGAAAACAACUGGCAGCCUGAAAGGCAGAUUCCAUUCCAUGAUGUCAGAUUCCCACCUCCUGUAGGUUAUAAUAAAGAUAUAAAUGAAAGUGAUGAAGUUGAGGUGUAUUCCAGAGCAAAUGAAAAAGAGCCUUGCUGUUGGUGGUUAGCUAAAGUGAGGAUGAUAAAGGGUGAGUUUUAUGUGAUAGAAUAUGCAGCAUGUGAUGCAACUUACAAUGAAAUUGUCACAAUUGAACGUCUAAGAUCAGUUAAUCCCAACAAACCUGCCACAAAAGAUACUUUCCAUAAGAUCAAGCUGGAUGUGCCAGAAGACUUACGACAAAUGUGUGCCAAAGAGUCGGCACAUAAGGACUUUAAAAAGGCAGUUGGUGCCUUUUCUGUAACUUAUGAUCCAGAAAAUUAUCAGCUUGUCAUUUUGUCCAUCAGUGAAGUCACCUCAAAGCGAGCGCAUAUGCUGAUUGACAUGCACUUUCGGAGUCUGCGCACUAAGUUGUCUCUGAUACUGAGAAAUGAAGAAGCUAGUAAGCAGCUGGAGAGUUCAAGGCAGCUUGCCUCGAGAUUUCAUGAACAGUUUAUCGUAAGAGAAGAUCUGAUGGGUCUAGCUAUUGGUACUCAUGGUGCUAAUAUUCAGCAAGCUAGAAAAGUACCUGGGGUCACUGCUAUUGAUCUAGAUGAAGAUACCUGCACAUUUCAUAUUUAUGGAGAGGAUCAGGAUGCAGUGAAAAAAGCUAGAAGCUUUCUCGAAUUUGCUGAAGAUGUCAUACAAGUUCCAAGGAACUUAGUAGGCAAAGUAAUAGGAAAAAACGGAAAGCUGAUUCAGGAGAUUGUGGAUAAGUCAGGAGUUGUGAGGGUGAGGAUUGAGGCUGAAAAUGAGAAAAAUGUUCCACAAGAAGAGGAAAUUAUGCCACCAAAUUCCCUUCCUUCCAAUAAUUCAAGGGUUGGACCUAAUGCCCCAGAAGAAAAAAAACAUUUAGAUAUAAAGGAAAACAGCACCCAUUUUUCUCAACCUAACAGUACAAAAGUCCAGAGGGUGUUAGUGGCUUCAUCAGUUGUAGCAGGGGAAUCCCAGAAACCUGAACUCAAGGCUUGGCAGGGUAUGGUACCAUUUGUUUUUGUGGGAACAAAGGACAGCAUCGCUAAUGCCACUGUUCUUUUGGAUUAUCACCUGAACUAUUUAAAGGAAGUAGACCAGUUGCGUUUGGAGAGAUUACAAAUUGAUGAGCAGUUGCGACAGAUUGGAGCUAGUUCUAGACCACCACCAAAUCGUACAGAUAAGGAAAAAAGCUAUGUGACUGAUGAUGGUCAAGGAAUGGGUCGAGGUAGUAGACCUUACAGAAAUAGGGGGCACGGCAGACGCGGUCCUGGAUAUACUUCAGCUCCAACAGAGGAAGAGAGAGGUAGUAGAGUUGAUAUUCUGGAGUUGGGGAGAAUUACCUACUCCUAAGGCCAACCUUGAACCUAACCCCUAACCCCUCUCCCAACAGUCUAUUCUUUUUAUUCAUGAAUUUCUGCCUCACCGUGGAGCUCUUUUUCUCCACUCCUGUCCUCUAAGUCAUUAACCCCUUCAGGCAUAAUGAGUUUAUUAUAGUAAUUCUUUAUUAAUGAUCAGUUAUUGUAAUGGGAGUUGGGGGGCAGGUUGUGGACCAAACAUCAGGCAAGCGUGUAUCUGCCUUCAGCUAGAUCCAAUCCGUGACCCCACAAAAGACCCUUCCCUGAAGCAGUUGCCAUGGUGGCCUCCUUUGCCACCCUCUCAGAAAUGACCAGAUUAUAUACAUUCCCCUCUGUCCUGGGCCAAAUCUUGCUAAAAGGAGCUCUCUUUAUAGAGGUUUUAUCAAGGUAUCACACUUAACUGUCAUAGAUAAUCUUUACUCCAGAGAGCAUAGAUGUUUAAAGGAACACAGCUGUUUAAUGAUAUGGCACAUUAAGGUUUGAACUUAGGUGGCUAAUAAAAUACCUUUUUAAAAAUGAGAAUGAAACAUGUUUAUAACCGAAAUUACCUCAAAUAUUGCAAAGCCCUUCAUUUUGAGUUUAAAAUUUUGUUUUAUGAAAUGGAAGGUGAUAAUACUCUUUGUGGGCUUAUAAAUUGGGAAGAGUUUUGGAUUACCCCUGAAACGUCUCUGGAAGCUUCUGUUAACCUCUUUUUUUUUUUUUUUUUUUAAGUCAGACAAUGGUAUAUAACUUUUAACUCUCGAUAGGAACUAAUUCUGAAGCAUCAAAUGCUUCUGAAACAGAAUCUGACCACAGAGACGAACUCAGUGAUUGGUCAUUAGCUCCAACAGAGGAAGAGAGGGAGAACUUCCUGCGCAGAGGAGACGGACGGCGGCGUGGAGGGGGAGGAAGAGGACAAGGAGGAAGAGGACGUGGAGGAGGCUUCAAAGGAAACGACGAUCACUCCCGAACAGAUAAUCGUCCACGUAAUCCAAGAGAGGCUAAAGGAAGAACAACGGAUGGAUCCCUUCAGAUCAGAGUUGACUGCAAUAAUGAAAGGAGUGUCCACACUAAAACAUUACAGAAUACCUCCAGUGAAGGUAAUCGGCUGCGCACGGGUAAAGAUCGUAACCAGAAGAAGGAAAAGCCAGACACCGUGGAUGGUCAGCAACCACUCGUGAAUGGAGUACCCUAAACUGCAUAAUUCUGAAGUUAUAUUUCCUAUACCAUUUCCGUAAUUCGUAUUCCAUAUUAGAAAACUUUGUUAGGCCAAAGACAAAUAGUAGGCAAGAUGGCACAGGGCAUGAAAUGAACACAAAUUCUGCUAAGAGGUUUUUAUUUUUUGGUAUUGGCCAUAAGCAACAAUUUUCAGAUUUGCACAAAAAGAUACCUUAAAAUUUGAAACAUUGCUUUUAAAACUACUUAGCACUUCAGGGCAGAUUUUAGUUUUAUUUUCUAAAGUACUGAGCAGUGAUAUUCUUUGUUAAUUUGAACCAUUUUCCUGCAUUGGGUGAUAAUUCACCAGUACAUUCUCAGUUUUUCGUAAUAUAUAGCAUUUAUGGUAAUCAUAUUAGACUUCUGUUUUCGAUCUCGUAUAGAAGUCUUCAUGAAAUGCUAUGUCAUUUCAUGUCCUGUGUCAGUUUAUGUUUUGGUCCACUUUUCCAGUAUUUUAGUGGACCCUGAAAUGUGUGUGAUGUGACAUUUGUCAUUUUCAUUAGCAAAAAAAGUUGUAUGAUCUGUGCCUUUUUUAUAUCUUGGCAGGUAGGAAUAUUAUAUUUGGAUGCAGAGUUCAGGGAAGAUAAGUUGGAAACACUAAAUGUUAAAGAUGUAGCAAACCCUGUCAAACAUUAGUACUUUAUAGAAGAAUGCAUGCUUUCCAUAUUUUUUUCCUUACAUAAACAUCAGGUUAGGCAGUAUAAAGAAUAGGACUUGUUUUUGUUUUUGUUUCGUUGCACUGAAGUUUGAUAAAUAGUGUUAUUGAGAGAGAUGUGUAAUUUUUCUGUAUAGACAGGAGAAGAAAACUAUCUUUUCAUUUGAGAGAGGCUAAAAUGUUUUCAGCUAGGAACAAAUCUUCCUGGUCGAAAGUUAGUAGGAUUUGCCUGCUCUUUGGCCUGAUGACCAAUUUUAACUUAGAGCUUUUUUUUUUAAUUUUGUCUGCCCCAAGUUUUGUGAAAUUUUUCAUAUUUUAAUUUCAAGCUUAGUUUGGAGAGAUAGGAAGGUCAUUUCCAUGUAUGCAUAACAAUCCUGCGAAGUACAGGUACUUUGUCUAAGAAACAUUGGAAGCAGGUUAAAUGUUUUGUAAACUUUGAAAUAUAUGGUCUAAUGUAUAAGCAGAAUUGGAAAAGACUAAGAUCGGUUAACAAAUAAUACUUUUUUUUAUUUUGUUUUUUGAAGUGUUGGGGUUUGGUUUGGUUUUUCGAGUCUUUUUUUUUUUUUUUUUUUUUUUUUUUUUUUUUUUUAGUGAAAUUUAUUGAGGACAAAUAUGUGAAGGACCUUCACUCUAAGAUGUUAUAUUUUUCUUAAAAAGUAACUCCUAGUAGGGGUACCACUGAAUCUGUACAGAGCCGUAAAAACUGAAGUUCUGCCUCUGAUGUAUUUUGUGAGUUUGUUUCUUUGAAUUUUCAUUUUACAGUUACUUUUCCUUGCAUACAAGCAAGCAUAUAAAAAUGGCAACAAACUGCACAUGAUUUCACAAAUAUUAAAAAGUCUUUUAAAAAGUAUUGCCAAACAUUAAUGUUGAUUUCUAGUUAUUUAUUCUGGGAAUGUAUAGUAUUUGAAAACGGAAAUUGGUACCUUGCACACAUCAUCUGUAAGCUGUUUGGUUUUAAAAUACUGUAGAUAAUUAACCAAGGUAGAAUGACCUUGUAAUGUAACUGCUCUUGGGCAAUAUUCUCUGUACAUAUUAGCGACAACAGAUUGGAUUUUAUGUUGACAUUUGUUUGGUUAUAGUGCAAUAUAUUUUGUAUGCAAGCAGUUUCAAUAAAGUUUGAUCUUCCUCUGCUAAACUGAUGUUGAUGCAAUCCUUACAAAUGAUUGCUUUUAAAAUUUUAAGCUAGGAAAAGAAAUCUAUAGAAAGUGUUCUGUUACAAAAUGUAACUGUUACCAUUGGAAAUUUCACGUCAUAGGAAGUUAGCCUUUAUCUACCAACUUUCAAGAACUUGUUUAAUAAAGUGAAAAACUCAACCAAAUGGUACAAAACCACAGUGUACCAUUACAUUAUGCACUAAGUCUCUUUUUUACAAAGGCUGAAUUCAGCAAGGCGCUAACUUGCUUAAAUGUGAAUUACUAACUUCUAAAACUGUACUUUGAUUCACAUGUUUUCAAAUGGAGUUGGAGUUGAUUCAUAUUACAAUAUUUGUGUGCUAAUCGUGUAUGUUUUUCAGUUCAAAGUCAUGAUGUUUUUAAAAUCUUAUUAAAGUUUCAAAAAUCUGAAGAUUGUUUAUCUAGAUGUAAAUUUUUAUUAAAAAGUUGCACUUAUGAAAAAGCAAAAAA